UAUUGUGCAGUCUACAGCUGUGGGCUCAAGCAUCCCACAACGAGACACAGCAUGUGUGCAGUCCACAGCUCCAGCACGAACCCAGCUCAUGUCCUGGCUGGUGAAAAAAUUCUUAGCUAUCCCAUAACUACCACAUGAUUAUAUCUGUCACAAAUACCGAGCCUCACAGGAUAAAAUCUGGGACUGGAAACUUGAACUAUCAUUCAGAACUUGAGACAACAAGGCACGACGUCCGCAGCAGCAGUUAUGUCUACUAGCCCAAGCAGCAGCAGCAGUGACAGCACGGCCAUGCCAGUAUACCCUCCGCUUGUCGUUCCUCACCUCCUCCUGUAUCUCCAGUUAACCAACCCCUACUCAGCAACAAGGUACUACAUAGAAGAGCUGCAAAGGAAAGGUAGUUGGGCUGCGAACUGUGCCAACACAAAUGAAUAACUGAUGAUGAGAAACCAAGUGGGAAGAGGAAAUAAAUAAUGGAGCACCUCCCGGCAUAACAGAAGAUCUCCUUGCAAAUCUUUAUCCAUGUGAAAGGGUGUGUGGUCUUGUUUGGGGUUCUUGUUUUUAAAUUUUGAGUAAUCCCACCGAUAUUACCUUUCACAAGAUUGUAUUUCAUAGAAUAAAAGCGUAUCUAGUAA